UUUAUGAGUUUGAUCUCGGCUCAGGAUGAACGCUGGCGGCGCGCUUAACACAUGCAAGUCGAACGAAGCGUAUAGAGAACGGAGAAUGUUCGGUUGAAGUUUUCUAUGUGACUGAGUGGCGGACGGGUGAGUAACGCGUGGGUAACCUGCCCUAUACAGGGGGAUAACUAGUUAGAAAUGACUGCUAAUACCGCAUAAGCGCACAGCUUCGCAUGAAGCGGUGUGAAAAACUGAGGUGGUAUAAGAUGGACCCGCGUUGGAUUAGCUAGUUGGUGAGGUAACGGCCCACCAAGGCGACGAUCCAUAGCCGGCCUGAGAGGGUGAACGGCCACAUUGGGACUGAGACACGGCCCAAACUCCUACGGGAGGCAGCAGUGGGGAAUAUUGCACAAUGGGGGAAACCCUGAUGCAGCGACGCCGCGUGAAGGAAGAAGUCAUCUCGGUAUGUAAAGCUGUCUCAUCAGCAGGGAAGAUAAAGUGACGGUCACCUGACUAAGAAGCCCCGGCUAAUUACGUGCCAGCAGCCGCGGUAAUACGUAAGGGGCAAGCGUUAUCCGGAUUUACUGGGUGUAAAGGGAGCGUGAGACGGUCAUGGCAAGUCUGAUAGUGAAAACGCAUUGGGCUCAACCCUGUGGACUGCAUUUGGAAACUGUCAAGACUUGAGUGCACGGAGAGGCUAAGUCGGAAUUCCUAGUGUAGCGGUGAAAUGCGUAGAUAUUAGGAGGAACACCAGUGGCGAAGGCGGCUUGACUGGACGUGUAACUGACGUUGAGGCUCGAAAGCGUGGGGAGCAAACAGGAUUAGAUACCCUGGUAGUCCACGCUGUAAACGAUGAAGUACUAGGUGUCGGGUGGCAUAAGCCCAUUCGGUGCCGCAGCAAACGUCAAUAAGUCAUUCCACCUGGGGAGUACGUUCGCAAGAAUGAAACUCAAAGGAAUUGACGGGGACCCGCACAAGACGGUGGAGCAUGUGGUUUAAUUCGAAGCAACGCGAAGAACCUUACCAAGAUCUUGACAUGCCCUCCUGACCGGGAAGUAAUGUUGCCCUUUCCUUCGGAACAGAGGAGACAGGUGGUGCAUGGUUGUCGUCAGCUCGUGUCGUGAGAUGUUGGGUUAAGUCCCGCAACGAGCGCAACCCUUAUUCUUAGUAGCCAGCAGGUAGAGCUGGGCAGCUCUAGGGAGACUGCCGAGGGAUAACCUGAGAGGAGAGGUGGGGAUGACGUCAAAUCAUCAUGCCCCUUAUGAUUUGGGCUACACACGUGCUACAAUGGCGUAAACAAGAGGGAAGCGAAGGGGUGACCGGGAGCAUAAUCUCAAAUAAUAAACGUCUCAGUUCGGAUUGUAGUCUGCAACUACGACUACAUGAAGCUGGUAAUCGCUAGUAAUCGCGAAUCAAUAAUGUCGCGGUGAAUACGUCCCCGGGUCUUGUACACACGCGCCCGUCACACCAUGGGAGUCGGUAUAUGCGCGAAGUCUGUGGCCCAACCGAUAAGAGGGAGCUGCACAGUGUGGGACUGAUGUCUGGGGUGAUUCUCUUGCAUUGGUAUCCGUAUAAAUUUCUUG
rnacentral:rRNA from 1 species